rnacentral:lncRNA from 1 species
ACUUAUUCAGUUAGUCCAUUGGGUCUUCACUAUUGGGUGUUGACAUUAUUGGGCCUAGUCAUUUUAUUAUCUUUGUUAAGUCCUUCUAAUAUCAGACCAAAUCAGUGAGUCGACCCAUCAGAUAUUUAAAUAUCUACAUCUUUGACUUGUAAUGAUGAUAUAGUAUGACAGUUGACCGAGAUAUCUGCCAUGCAUUAAUGUGGAUGGGAUUAUAGCCGACCGGCGGUGUGAACAGUGGCCAAAAGCAGUGGAUAAGUUCCAUGCAGUCGGCAGAACCCAUCAGAUCAGGGGGAUAUGUCAGAUGGUAGUGGGUGACACAGUAAUCCAGGCAAAGAUAUUAUUUCUUGGCGAGUAAGUCUUCACAAGGAGGUACGUUUUUGAUAUAUACACAUUCACACAACUAAUAAUAAUAAUCUC